rnacentral:rRNA from 1 species
AUUGAACGCUGGCGGCAGGCCUAACACAUGCAAGUCGAGCGGCAGCGGGUCCUUCGGGAUGCCGGCGAGCGGCGGACGGGUGAGUAAUGCCUAGAAAUCUGCCUGGUAGUGGGGGAUAACGUUCGGAAACGGACGCUAAUACCGCAUACGUCCUACGGGAGAAAGUGGGGGAUCUUCGGACCUCACGCUAUCAGAUGAGCCUAGGUCGGAUUAGCUAGUUGGUGGGGUAAAGGCUCACCAAGGCGACGAUCCGUAACUGGUCUGAGAGGAUGAUCAGUCACACUGGAACUGAGACAUGGUCCAGACUCCUACGGGAGGCAGCAGUGGGGAAUAUUGGACAAUGGGCGAAAGCCUGAUCCAGCCAUGCCGCGUGUGUGAAGAAGGUCUUCGGAUUGUAAAGCACUUUAAGUUGGGAGGAAGGGCAGCUAGUUAAUAUCUGGUUGUUUUGACGUUACCAACAGAAUAAGCACCGGCUAACUUCGUGCCAGCCGCCGCCGUAACAC